rnacentral:rRNA from 1 species
AUGGGGAGAGGCCUUCUUCCUCGACUCCGGCCGGUUCGGUCGCCGCCACAGUCCGGUGCCGUGCGUCCUGAGCGGAGCCUCCCCUGCCCUUCCAGCACCGCCAUUAGACUCUCCCAGACCGUGCUGAGCCACCCAACGCCUCAGCCUCGACCGGAAACCACCGGAGCCCAAACCCCCAAUUGCUCCCGAAACGUCGUCCGCCGCGAACCUCGCCGCUGGCGACUCCCUGCGUCCCCGCCAGCCUUUCGACCACGGGGAGGACCGCCCUGGACUGGCGGAUCCAUCCCUGCCCUCGGAGCCCCGUAG